rnacentral:lncRNA from 1 species
AGAUUCUCAUAGGAGUGGGAACUUGUUGUGAACUGUACAUGUGAGGGACUUAUGUUAUGCCUCCUUAUGAGACUCUAAUGCCUGAUAAUCUGAGAUGGAACAGUUUCAUCCCCCUCUCUUCCCCAACCCAACCUGGGGUCCAUGGAUAAACUGUCUUCCACAAAACUGGUCCCUGGUGCCAGAAAGGUUGGGGACUGCAGCAUUAAAUUAUAACUGCAUAAAAUUACAGUACAUACUAUGCUGCCGUCAUAUUUUUGUAGCCACCUCCUGUUGCUAUUGCAGUGAGCUUAAGUGUUGUGAGUAUUCAUUUAAAAUGCCAUGUAGUACUCAUAUCUCUGAGUGAGCAGUUCAUCUCUCCAGUAAAUUGCAUAUGGCAAUAAAAGUGAUCUCUUGCCGUUCUGAAGUAUCUUUCACUAUGUGUAGUGCAAUAACAUAAGCCUUGAAUAACACCAUGAGACCCAUACAGAGGUUACUGGUGGUGCUGGAAUUGCUCAAGAAGCAGAGAAAAGUCAUGACGUAAGAAAAAGUUAAAUUUGCUUGUAAAGUACCUUUACAGAUUGAGGUCUAAAGCUGUAGUUGCCCUCCAUUUCAGACGGUCAUCUUGAAGUAUCAGUACAGUACUGUAGGUGUAAUUUCUCUUCCGUAUCAUUCAAUAUUUUCUGUAGCUUGUAACAACACAGUAUAUAAGACAUAAACAAAAUGAGUUGACUUUAUGUUAUUGGUAAGGCUUCCAGUCAACAAUAGGCUAUUGGUAAUGACAUUUUGGGGGAGUCAAAAGUUAUACAGGAGUUUUUGACUGCUAUGCCUUUAACUCUUGUAUUGUUCAAGGGUCAAAUGUAUUUGAUUAUCAGCUUGUUCUUUUUCAUGCUUGUUUGUAAACUUUGUUGGAGUCGGCCUGGAGUCAUCUGUAGUCCUAAUUUAGCUUUACAAUAGGGGCAUGAUAUUUCUGGGUUUUCUACUGCAUGCCCUGGAGAUCACUGAGGUGUAACCAUUCGGGUCACCAGAACUCAAAUAUAUUCCAGCCUUGUGGGAGCUCUGGAAAUUAUUCAGCUUACAGUUUUUAUUUUAUCCAUGGUUUUAGUUACCUGUGGUCAACUGCAGUUUGAAAAUAUGUGGCCAGGUGUGGUGGCCAUGCCUGUAAUUCCAGCACUUAGGGAGGCUGAGGCAGGAGAAUUGCUUAGCCCAGGAGCCCGAUAUGACCUGGGCAACAUAAUAAGACCCUGUCUUUACAAACGAUAAACAAAAUAGAAAAUUAGCUGGGUGUAGUGGCAUGUGCUUGUGGGCCCAGCUGCUAGCGGGGCUGAGUUGGGAGGAGUACUUGAAUCUAGGAAGUUGAAGCCAGUCGGCUAUGAUCGUGCCACUGCACCCCAGCUUGGGCCACAGAGCAAGAGCCUGUCUCAGGGAAAAAAAAGAAAAAAGAAAAA